CUUUUAAAAGCAACUUAAAGUAGCUGAAAAUAAGAAUUUUUUGAUGAACUUUCUUACUUCGGUUGGAGGAGAUGAGAAGCAACUUACAGCGGCAAUAUUAAUACAGCUAAUGGCCAAAGAAGUAUGUUUUUCAUACUCAGUGUAUGGAAUGAAAC
rnacentral:lncRNA from 1 species